AUUGAACGCUGGCGGCAUGCCUUACACAUGCAAGUCGAACGGCAGCACGGGAGCAAUCCUGGUGGCGAGUGGCGAACGGGUGAGUAAAGUAUCGGAACGUGCCCAGUCGUGGGGGAUAACGUAGCGAAAGUUACGCUAAUACCGCAUACGAUCUAUGGAUGAAAGCGGGGGAUCGCAAGACCUCGCGCGAUUGGAGCGGCCGAUAUCAGAUUAGGUAGUUGGUGGGGUAAAGGCUCACCAAGCCGACGAUCUGUAGCUGGUCGGAGAGGACGACGAGCCACACUGGGACUGAGACACGGCCCAGACUCCUACGGGAGGCAGCAGUGGGGAAUUUUGGACAAUGGGCGAAAGCCUGAUCCAGCCAUGCCGCGUGCAGGAUGAAGGCCUUCGGGUUGUAAACUGCUUUUGUACGGAACGAAAAGGUUUGGCCUAAUAAGCUGAGCUCAUGACGGUACCGUAAGAAUAAGCACCGGCUAACUACGUGCCAGCCGCCGACGUAA
rnacentral:rRNA from 1 species